GCAGUCGACGGCAGCACGGGGGCAACCCUGGUGGCGAGUGGCGAACGGGUGAGUAAUGCAUCGGAACGUGUCUUCGAGUGGGGGAUAACGCACCGAAAGGUGUGCUAAUACCGCAUAAUCUCUACGGAGAAAAGCAGGGGAUCGCAAGACCUUGCGCUCUUGGAGCGGCCGAUGUCUGAUUAGCUAGUUGGUGAGGUAAAGGCUUACCAAGGCGACGAUCAGUAGCUGGUCUGAGAGGACGACCAGCCACACUGGGACUGAGACACGGCCCACACUCCUACGGGAGGCAGCAGUGGGGAAUUUUGGACAAUGGGGGAAACCCUGAUCCAGCCAUGCCGCGUGAGUGAAGAAGGCCUUCGGGUUGUAAAGCUCUUUCAGCCGGAACGAAACGGUCACGGUUAAUACCUGUGACUACUGACGGUACCGGAAGAAGAGGCACCGGCUAACUACGUGCCAUCAGCCGCGGUAAUACGUAUGGUGCAAGCGUUAAUCGGAAUUACUGGGCGUAAAGCGUGCGCAGGCGGUUGUGUAAGUCAGAUGUGAACUCCCCGGGCUUAACCUGGGAACUGCGUUUGAACUAC
rnacentral:rRNA from 1 species